AGCUUUGUUUAUUUUUUAAGCUGGCACAGAAAUGCAGGAUAAGCUGAGCUGACCACAAGUCAUUAAAUGUUAUGACUUGAAUUGAAUGCUGAACAAUAUUGUUAAAGCAUAAAGGGAAACUCUGGAAUAAAUUAACAGGUCGUAUAAUAUCUUGUGUUUCCCAGAAACACAGCCACCCAUCUCUCUUCAACUGCUUUCUCAGCUAAAGGUGAAAUAUUUCUUCUCCAGCUCAAGGCAUCCAGGAGUCAGACAUUUAUGUUUGAGCUGGCCACAGCUGCAGCCAUGCUCCCUUUGCAGUUUACAAGGAGAAAUGGGAACUUCCAAAAGGUGAUUCAGCUUAUCCUAAGACAGAUAUCUGUGAUGGAUCAGAAGAUUUGCUCUCAGAAGGUGCCUGUUUGUCUCCACUGAAAGAUUUCCUGUGACCACCAUCUCCUCCCAGAACUGAGCUGCAGGCAGCAGGGCUCUGUGUGUGAAGAACCCUGGAGGACAGACACCUUCUUCUCUUAAACCUCCAGGAUGCUCAGGAAGUCACAACUUGUUUGGGUAUCAAGCACAAUGGAGCACUGGGAAUUUCCCUCCUGAAUGUCCAUCUUCAGUGCUCCCGUGACCAGCCAUUGCCUCAAGAAAAGCCUUGGCUUGCUCAAUUAGCAAGACAGCUCUUUGUGGAGAGUGCCGUAGCUCGCUUUGUGCCAUGGGGAAGUCCAAGCAGACCCAACUUUAAGGAUCUGGGUGCAGAUGGAGGAUGGGAAUGCAGCCCAGCCCUUCCCAAGCCAUGGUUCCACAGAGUAGCCACUGAACAGGGUAUGGUGCUUUUACCCUUAAACAGACACACGAAUGCUUCUUGCUAUAUUUGCAAAAAUAUGUGAUUAGUACUCAAAUCAAGAGAACUGAAAGCAGCUGGAACACAGGCCUUUCUUAGAGCUCAGGACUGGUUCAAGCCCUAAUUAAACCUGCAUCCAAAAGGCUGGAUGGAGCUGCCUUUGCUCACACUAAUGAAGCUUCAGUUUUCCUCUAUUGCACUGCUGUACCAUGGACUCCCACUUCUUUGCCCUGCACUGACAGAUUUGUGGAUUGAUGACAGCAUCCCUCUGACAAGCUGAGGUACAGGAAGACUUGCUGAAAGCCAAGUGGAGUUCAGCUGGUUGAAGACAUCUCAUUAUCUGCCUGGCUUGCACGUCUGCAUUUGAACUGGCCCUAUACAACCACUUUGAGCUAAGCCUCUGCUGCUUGUCCUGGCUGCACGUCUGGGACAGGUCAAUCCACAGUCUUGGUGAGCUUUGCUUUCUUCAAGAACCAGACAGAAUUCAAAGCAAAUAGCUUGGCACAGGCACCUUGUUUUCAGGAGAAGACAUCCUGAAUGGGUGAAGCAGUGGUGUCUGCAUGCUGCUGGAAUAAGGCAGCUGCAUUCCUUGGUGCCACUUGGCUGCACUCUGAAGCAGCAAUGCCCACUGGACAGCUGGGCUAUAGGGAUGCUCCAGGACAAGCCAGAGGCCUGAAAACAAGCCAGGCUUUCUGUAAAGCAUUAAUCACCCCAUGCAGGGCUGGGCACUGGGAAUGGGGCAAGGGUGCUCUCGCAGCACACACAUGGUUUCUAUCUAAGCUUUGUUUCAGCUGGAUCUUUCCCACUAACACAUCCUUCUUUAACACCUUGUACUCAUUUACUUGGGGCUGUUUAGCAGCACAAAUCAAUUAAGUGCAGCAGAAACCCACUGAGACAGGGAGAGUUCCCUAUCUCUGGUUCGGCCGGGGUGGGAGGCACGCAGAGGUUAAGCUUGUGCUUUUUACCACACAGGGAGCAAGGGUGGAGCAUGGAGCAGCCCCCAGCUCACCUCCUCUGUGGGUUUCAGCUCUCAGCAGCCUCAGAGAGACUCACAGCUGCUCCAGGAGCUCUGAGGGCCUUGGGGAGCUUCUCAUCUGGCAUCAAAUAAUCAGAGAACUGGAGAGUGCCAGCUCUGCUGCAAUAUCCCACUGAGAUUGGCCCAGGGAGCCUCACUGAACAGGGCUGAGCAGUCCUGAGGUACCAGCUGUGUCCUGUAGCAGGGACAGGGUACAGUGAGGGCCUCCAAGCUCACCUUCAUGUGUCUCACAGGUUUGUCCAUCAUGAAAUUGCCUGUACCUGCUGGGGAAUCAUGAAAUUGCCUGUACCUGCUGGGGAAGUCACUGCUUAGUGGUUUAACUGGUCCCACUGGCCAGAGGGACAUGCAGGAGUUUAGGAAGUAGCAAAGCCAUAAAAUAUGAAUGAGAACAGAGUCAGAAAAAAUGAGUGGCUUUAAAAUAAUCAUUUGGUUGGUCUUAUUCCAAGUGCAGCACCAGCUCAGCAUGCCAAGCAGAGCUCAGGAAGUGCCUUCCGGCUGUCAGCCCCAUGGGAACGGGAUGCAGGGAUGUGCCUCUGCUUCAGGCUGGGCUGGAGCUUCUCACACACAACACAGGCCCCAGAAACAGGAGACAGUAAUUCAAGCCACAUGAUAAAGCUGAUCCACACAAUGAAGGAAGAUAAAGCCUAACCAAGCAAUUCCUGCUCCUCGUGGGUGUCUCUCAGGAGGGCCUGAGGCUGUAGGACAUGCCCUCGGCUCACAGAGACCAUUAAUCAUAAGUGUGCCUUAGUCCCUGGCUAUUUUAAUCACUGUUGAAAUACACACUCCUAAAAAUGGUAUUUGAUUCCAAUGCACAUGAUUUCCUUUGGCUUCCUUUCCCCCAGUUAAGUUCAAGCUGUAACUGCUUGGAAGUCUGGGAUCCAUACAUUUGCUUCUCACCUGUCAUGGAGCAAAAAACACUUGGUACUACACAUAGCAUCAGAUCUGUGACACCAGACAUAAAUAUCAGAAUAUACUGUAAUGGGGCUGUGGUCUGAGUGUGCUACCACCUGUCCUGUGCAGUGGCACACUGAAAAUGUCACUGGGUCCUACUGGAUCAUCAGUCCUUCCCUGUUCCACUUUAUAAUGUAAUGAUUGAAAAUGCCUCUUGUAUAUGCUAGCACUAAUCAGGAUGUCAGUCUGUUGUGGGAGAAGUGAAUGAAUCAUCAGGAAUGGAUGAACUGGGGGUAUAUUUGUAAAGGGUAGGCUGUAGAAACCAGUUAGUCUUUAAUUUUUCCUUUAAAAAAUGCGAAGCAAAAGUCACAGGAAGUUUAAGGAGAAAACAAAUUGCUCUUCCACAGACUGAGAAGCACAGCAGAGAGUCCUUGUACUGCUCAGCUUCUCUCAUGAUGCAAAUGAGCAGCCUGAGGAGUCUGGGGGUGCCUUCCUUUAAGUACAGACUAAAUGCAUUGUGCCCAGCUCCAUGGGCUUACUGGUACUCUAAUUUACAAACUGAAUUUCUCUGCAUUUUUUGUCUAUGAGGGUGUUGCUAUUGAGUUUAAAGAACCAAUCUGAGUUUACAGACAGAAAGAAAAAGUGAAGUUUACAGGAAUAUCAACUUAAAAAUGUAAGGAACAUUUUGCAGGUACACUAAUCAUCAGGGACCCCUUUAGUAUUUGUCACACUGAGCCAGGUCAUAGGCCCAUGACACCAGGACAAAUAGCCAAGAGGACUCCUCGCAAUUAUAACCUGGGGUUUAAAUCAUUACACCCAGCAACAUUAUUUACCU